rnacentral:rRNA from 1 species
ACUUACCAUGUUACGAUUGCCUCCCCUUGGUUCCUAGUAAUUCACACUAUAUUGUAUACGGUGGGAGAGUACGGGCGGUGUGUGCGCGCUUUAGGGCCAGUUUCAGCAGGACUCUCUAUUUGCUGCUUACUGCUAAAUCCUCCUUCUAAUACUUUUUCAUUAUAUUGUUCGUGGUGCCUUAAAGUAAGGAAUGUAGCCAUUUCUUCCCCUCUGCAUUUGCUACACCUCGACCUGACGUUUUAAGUACUACUGACUUUGCUUACUACGAAUCCUUCACAGGGUAAGCUGACGACGGCGGUAUAUAGGCGGGAAGAACAAGAGAGGGUGAGGUUUAACGGGGGGUAUCGGUUCUAGAACAGGCUCCUUUAGGUGGGUUUAAAGCACCGCCAAGUCCUUUGGGUUUUAAGCUUAUGCUCGUAGUACCCGGGCGGAUGAUCAAGUGAUGUUCAUCAAGGUUUACUUCUAUGCAUAGUGGGGUAUCUAAUCCCAGUUUGUUUCAUAGCUUUCGUGGGCUCAUUUAAUUUAAGGUCACCUUCGUAGUUGGGCUUCUCACUUCCGAUUGCGUAUAACAGCUUUGAAAGCAUUUAACCUUAUUAAGUCAUUAACUAACCACGCUUUACGCCGGAGUCUGUCAGCUUGAACCUCUCGUAUAACCGCGGUG